UGGGGAAUUUUGGACAAUGGGCGCAAGCCUGAUCCAGCCAUGCCGCGUGCGGGAAGAAGGCCUCGGGUUGUAAACCGCUUUGUCAGGGAAGAAAUCUUCUGAGUUAAUACCUCGGGAGGAUGACGGUACCUGAAGAAUAAGCACCGGCUAACUACGUGCCAGCAGCCGCGGUAAUACGUAGGGUGCAAGCGUUAAUCGGAAUUACUGGGCGUAAAGCGUGCGAGGCGGUUUUGUAAGACAGAGGUGAAAUCCCCGGGCUCAACCUGGGAACUGCCUUUGUGACUGCAAGGCUUGAGUGCGGCAGAGGGGGAUGGAAUUCCGCGUGUAGCAGUGAAAUGCGUAGAUAUGCGGAGGAACACCGAUGGCGAAGCAAUCCCCUGGGCCUGCANUGACGCUCAUGCACGAAAGCGU
rnacentral:rRNA from 1 species